rnacentral:tRNA from 1 species
CUUUUCCCUUAGUAGUAGAGUAAUGCCACGGAAAGACGGAAGUCGUCAUUGGUUCGAAUCCGAUAGAG